UACGUAGGUGGCAAGCGUUGUCCGGAUUUACUGGGCGUAAAGAGCGCGCAGGCGGUCGUGCAAGUCGCGUGUGAAAGCCCCCGGCUCAACUGGGGAGGGUCACGCGAUACUGCUCGACUCGAAGGCAGGAGAGGGAAGUGGAAUUCCCGGUGUAGUGGUGAAAUGCGCAGAUAUCGGGAGGAACACCAAUGGCGAAGGCAGCUUGCUGGGACGGUACUGACGCUGAGACGCGAAAGCGUGGGGAGCGAACAGG
rnacentral:rRNA from 1 species